rnacentral:lncRNA from 1 species
UGGCAACUUUUCUCGGCUCUGGGGAUGACUACGAAGAGUGGGAAUUGUAGCUUCAUCCUCAACGGCCAUUAUACAAUGGAUUUUUGGAACCGCAUAGACUUGCAUUUGUCGGUUAGGUAAUAGAGCGUCCCUACAUUAUAAUUUGUUGGUAAAAGGUUAAGUAUCGAAGGAGACAGAAAGACGGUGAUGGCCCGCAUCAACGCCAGACACUCAAGCUUGGCAACAGGAAGCUCUAUCAUCCAUCUAGGAGAUCUCCGGCCUUCCUUUAAGAGAUCCGUCUCCAGACAGUUCGACGGUCAGGUAACAGAGUCACCCAUUUUAUGGUUCGUAUAGCUCUUAAAUAUCGCCAAGGAGUGUUGCCGGUAGUCCUCACUCGUCAGGUUGAUUGUAGACUUGUGUGUAUUUGCUAUCUU